AUCCGACCGCCGCCCCGCCGGCCCCGCGGCCUCAGGCUGCCAGCUGGCCUCGGAGCAGGCGCCUGCGCCCUCGGCCUCGGCCUAGUCAUGCUCCGUCCGGGCGCGCAGCUGCUGCGGGGCCUCCUGCUGCGGAGCUGCCCGCUGCAGGGCUCCCCCGGGCGCCCGCGCUCCGUCUGCGGCCGGGAAGGAGAGGAAAAACCACCCUUAUCUGCAGAAACACAAUGGAAAGACAGAGCAGAAACAGUGAUAAUUGGAGGUGGCUGUGUUGGUGUGAGUCUGGCUUAUCACCUGGCCAAAGCAGGGAUGAAAGAUGUGGUCCUGCUGGAGAAAUCAGCGCUCACAGCUGGAUCUACCUGGCACGCAGCAGGUUUAACAACUUACUUUCAUCCUGGAAUAAACUUGAAGAAAAUACAUUAUGAUAGCAUCAAACUUUAUGAGAAACUGGAAGAAGAAACUGGACAGGUGGUGGGAUUCCAUCAGCCAGGUAGUAUCAGACUUGCUACCACCCCUGUAAGGGUAGAUGAAUUUAAAUAUCAAAUGACUCGGACUGGCUGGCAUGCAACAGAACAGUGUAUCAUUGAACCUGAAAAAAUUCAAGAGAUGUUCCCUUUACUCAACAUGAAUAAGGUUUUAGCUGGAUUGUAUAAUCCUGGAGAUGGUCACAUUGAUCCUUAUUCUCUAACUAUGGCACUGGCUGCUGGGGCUAGGAAAUAUGGUGCCCUUUUAAAAUAUCCUGCACCAGUAACUUCUCUGAAAGCCAGGUCAGAUGGAACAUGGGACGUUGAAACACCACAGGGGUCUAUGAGAGCAAAUAGAAUUGUGAAUGCUGCAGGAUUUUGGGCUCGUGAAGUAGGUAAAAUGAUUGGACUAGAACAUCCUCUCAUUCCGGUUCAACAUCAAUAUGUUGUUACAUCGACUAUACCUGAAGUGAAAGCUUUGAAACGAGAACUCCCUGUGCUCCGUGACCUGGAAGGAUCAUAUUAUCUCCGACAGGAAAGGGAUGGGCUUUUGUUUGGUCCAUAUGAAAGUCAAGAGAAAAUGAAAGUUCAGGACUCCUGGGUCACCAAUGGAGUUCCUCCAGGUUUUGGAAAGGAACUCUUUGAGUCUGAUCUAGAUCGAAUCAUGGAACACAUCAAAGCUGCUAUGGAAAUGGUUCCUGUCUUGAAAAAGGCUGACAUCAUCAAUGUUGUCAAUGGUCCUAUCACGUAUUCUCCUGACAUUCUGCCUAUGGUGGGGCCCCAUCAGGGGGUCAGAAACUACUGGGUGGCUAUAGGCUUUGGAUAUGGCAUAAUCCACGCUGGUGGGGUAGGGAAAUAUCUCAGUGACUGGAUCCUGCAUGGAGAACCUCCUUUUGAUCUGAUAGAAUUGGAUCCUAAUCGCUAUGGCAAAUGGACAACAACCCAGUACACUGAGGCCAAAGCAAGAGAAUCAUAUGGAUUCAACAAUAUUGUUGGUUAUCCUAAAGAAGAACGGUUUGCUGGGAGGCCGACUCAACGAGUCAGUGGGCUCUAUCAAAGGCUGGAGUCUAAGUGUUCCAUGGGGUUCCAUGCUGGCUGGGAGCAGCCGCACUGGUUCUACAAACCAGGCCAGGACACUCAGUAUAGGCCAAGCUUUCGCCGCACAAACUGGUUUGAGCCUGUGGGCUCGGAGUAUAAACAGGUUAUGCAAAGAGUAGGGGUAACUGACCUAUCACCAUUUGGCAAGUUUAACAUCAAAGGCCAAGAUUCCAUUAGACUACUGGACCAUCUCUUUGCAAAUGUCAUUCCAAAGGUGGGUUUUACAAAUAUAAGUCACAUGUUAACACCCAAGGGUCGAGUGUAUGCUGAGUUGACUGUUUCUCACCAGUCUCCCGGGGAGUUUCUUUUAAUUACUGGCUCUGGAUCAGAACUUCAUGAUCUUAGAUGGAUUGAAGAAGAAGCAGUCAAAGGUGGAUAUGAUGUUGAAAUUAAAAACAUAACCGAUGAGCUUGGAGUUCUUGGAGUUGCUGGGCCACAGGCAAGAAAGGUCCUUCAGAAACUGACCUCUGAAGAUCUUAGUGAUGAUGUUUUCAAGUUUCUUCAAACCAAGUCCUUAAAGGUUUCCAACAUUCCUGUCACUGCUAUUAGGAUAUCUUAUACUGGUGAGCUGGGUUGGGAGCUGUACCACAGAAGAGAAGAUACUAUGGUGCUGUAUGACGCUAUCAUGAACGCAGGCCAGGAGGAGGGAAUCGACAAUUUUGGAACCUAUGCCAUGAAUGCCUUACGCCUGGAGAAAGCCUUCAGAGCCUGGGGGUUAGAGAUGAACUGUGAUACAAAUCCUUUGGAAGCUGGACUGGAAUAUUUUGUGAAGUUAAAUAAGGAUCAGAAUAGCUGCUUUGCCCGUUUUAAGGAGGAAAAUGGCUGGGUGAGCAGAUGGGCCAUCAGGCCUUAUUAGGGUGAAUCGUGUUCUUGUCAAAACCUGUAAGAAAGUAGGGAAAAGAACAAAGGAAUACUGAAGAACUCUUUCAUCACAAAGGGAGACGGCGCAGUGGCCCUUGCUUCCUUCGGUCUUGGAGUUGUUCCAGCCUCCUUCCCCUGGUGUUGGCUUACGUGAAGCUGAUACACAUGUAUCAUUCAUUCAUCCAUUCAUCUAGUAGACAUUUAUUAAGUACCGCUGAUUAGACACCUUGCCAAACCAUAGAUCUAAAUGUUAAAGAUAUAUUCCUGAGGGCUCUGAGAUCUCAUGAACCUGGAAACAAAUGAUAUUUCAGGAACUAAAGCUGUAGGGAUACGUUCUUAGCCGUAAUUGUGAAGAUAACCCUUCCACAAGCGGAGGGCUCUCCAGCCGCAUACAACACCGCCAUCUUGUGGGAAGUGCUCCGUAGAGCCCUGCCAGGAAGCCUUGACCAAAGCUGCAGUAAAAAUAAUUGAAUCUGUGCUUUUAAAAUCUUCUUAACUAAAAACGCUUCACCUGAAACAACUCAUAUCAUUGUUCUCAAUGGUAUUUUUGGUAUGUUCCAAAGGAAGUAACUUUUGGGAGGAAAAUCAGUGGCCUUUGUUUAGUUGGAGAUGGAAGAAAUGCAUUAAUCAAGAGCAAAAGGAAAAUCAGCUGCCUUUGGAUGGAGUCAUAGGUGAUUCUGCAGAGAUGGAGAAUUACUGUUUUCAAUGGAAGAUUUUCAACUGGCUGAACAUAUUAUCCUGAAGAACUAAAAAUUACCUGAACUAAAAGAACUAAAAACUACUCAAGUAGUUCUCAAGGUGUGGUCCACAGACCAGCAGCAUCACUGUCACCUGGGGACCUGCUAGAAAAUUCAAAUUGUUGGGUACCAUCCCAGACCCCCAAAAUCAGAAACUGCCAGGGUGGAACCCAACUAUCUAUCUAUCUAUCUAUCUAUCUAAUCUAUUUUUAUUGAGACCGAGUCUCGCCCUAUCGCCCAGGCUGAAGUGCAGUGGUGCAAUUUUGGCUCACUACAACCUUUGCCUCCCAGGUUCAAGCAGUUCUCUUGCCUCAGCCUCCCCAAUAGCUGCCAUCAUGCCCAGUUGAUUUUUGUAUUUUCAGUAGAGACGAGGUUUCACCAUGUUGGCCAGGCUGGUCUUGAACUCCUGACCUCAGGUGAUCCACCUGCCUCAGCCUCUCCAAGUGCUAGGAUUACAGGCAUGAGUCACCGCACUUGGCCCAGCAAUCUAUUCUAAUAAGCCCUCCAGGUAGUUUCAAUGCAGCUUAUCUAAGAACAUGGACCUACCCCAAAUCAAUUAGAUUUACUCUAGGUGUAGGGUCCAUGGUUCCUUUUUAAAGCUCCACAGGUGAUUUUUUUUAAUGAAGUGAAUAUUGAGAACCACUGUUUCAGUUCUUAUAACUUCAUACCAACUUCAGUCUUGAAAGUAUAUAGGAAAGUAGAAAAACAGGUGGAUUGGUCAGAGGAUGGUGCUAUAGAACUGUGGUGGAAUGAAUGUAAAUUAAUAGAUCUAGAGCCUAUUCCAGCUAGGCUACAGGUUCAUAUUCUGCCCCAUAUCUUUGUUUUUUCUUUUAGAACUGGGUAGUAAGUGAAUUUUUUUUAAGUCACCAAAUUCUAGCCGCAUGGCCCAGGAAAGCCAUUUAACUUGAUUUUAAUGCCUGAGAUUUUUAAUCUGUAAAAGAAGGCUACUUUUGCAAGUCUAAAAUCCUAUGGAAUGCCUCCAACACAGUGGUUGAAGAUAUUGGUGCCAUGUUAUCUUUAUGAGCCACAUAAUUGUGUCAUCUGAAUUAAGCUGUCCUUAUUCUGUUACCCAUUUUCAUUGCUGAGUGAUAAGGGGAAGGAGAGGAGAAAGGAGGGGAGGGGAAGAGAAAGGAAGAGGAAAGAAGUAAAACCUAGCUGAAGUGUAGCUGACCAUUCCCGAAACACCUGUCAGGAUACAUUAAACUAAAGCCAUUGAAUCAUUAUUUUCAUAUAUAUCCAAUUUCUGUUAUGAAACAGUACUUUGUUUCUACCCUAAGAGCUGAAAUGUGAUGUUUAGCUGACUGCUUUCAAAUUUGGAUAUCCACGGAAACCCAGGUUUAGGAAUGAAUUGAAGUAAUUUUUAAGAUUGCUUUUAUUUUUGUUAUUAUUUUAACGGCGUAUUUGAACAUGCAAUAAUUGACAUAUUUAAAGUAAGCAAUUGGAUAAGUUUUAGUACAUGAUACAGCAGUGAAACCAUCACCGCAGUGAAGAUAGUUACCCUAUCCCUCAUCCCCAGGGUGUUCAUGCCCCUUUGUGAUCCCUACCCGCCACCCUCCCCACAGCCUCACCUACCCCCCAGGCAACAAUUUAUGUCUGAGACUAUAGAUUAUUUUGCAAUUUUUAGAAUAAAUGCAAAAUCUAUAAAAAUG